GUCUGGCCCAACGCUCUUCACCAGCAUGUCAUGCUGCUCGUGGAGGAUCUUGAGAGAAGAGUUUAGGACCAUCUGAUAACAGAUGAAGAACCGAAAGCAAACAGACAAUUUGUCAUCCACCCACGGACAAGAGUUCAUGCGGGGAGCUGAGGGCCUCAGCACUGUAAGCCAAGGGAACCUGGAGGAGUCUCGCCCACCUGUGCGUUGGGUGAUAGACACGCAGACAGACCUCAGUCCUGGCUGUGGAUCCAGCAGUGGGCCAUGAACUGACUCCAGGUCCUCUCCGCUGUGGUCUGGGAGCCCCUGGAGAAUACUGACUUAAAUAAUCACCCACAGAUGAGACAGCCUUUGUGGAAGUCCAGGAUUCCAACAAAGAAAGUUCUAGCACAACGUUGGAGCAAAAAAAUAUGAGUUUGGACACAUUGCAAAGGGCAAGAGGAACAGUUUGACUUUGUCCACAUCACCUCUCCCCUAAGGUGGCACAGCUCCAUGCCAAGACUGUCUCGGCCUGUGAUUUCUCCUGUGGGGAGUUGAUGGAGGAUGCUGAGGCCUGAGGCCACGCUCCUCCAGCUUUUCAAGUCUCGGUGAUUUUGGAAACAGCUGCAGGGACUUCACCCCCUGCCAAGCUUUGGACAGCAGUGGCCCCUUCAGAUCAGUGGAAGGCCGUCCUCCUUUUCCUUCCUCCCUCGGAGGUUUCCUUUUUGCACCUUGGACUUCUCUUCAUGGAUCAUCUGCCAGAUAGGUGGACCAAGAAUUCUUACUCUUUACAGAUUUUCUUCCCUUAAUGGUCCUGUUCUGUGCUGUCACCCUGGCACUCUUAGCAGCUGGCAGGAAAUGUUUAUAGAGCAAGCUUUUCUUUCUCUUUUUAAUAGCCUUCUAGGCUGCCACCUCCCAAAUAAGAACCUCGUUAACCAGAAGGACUCUAGGCUACUGAUUUAUAUUCCAGUCAUACCAAGAGGAAAAGAAAUGACAAAGGGAAAAAGAAAAUGCCAAAGUAUCCGUGGACUGGUUCCAACACCCUGUCUGAUGACGAGUGUGUAUAUCUAUUUAAGCUCUGGGUGCUAAGGGAUUCCUUCCAGAUUUUAGUAUUUGACCUAUUACCCUUGUGUCACAUGGAUUCUCUG
rnacentral:lncRNA from 1 species